CGCGGCGACGUGNGCGGUCCGCUGCCCGCGACGUCGCGAGAAGUCCACUGAACCUUAUCAUUUAGAGGAAGGAGAAGUCGUAACAAGGUUUCCGUAGGUGAACCUGCGGAAGGNNCAU
rnacentral:rRNA from 1 species